GAUGAAGAACGCAGUGAAAUGCGUUAAGUAAUGUGAAUUGCAGAAUUCAGUGAAUCAUCGAAUCUUUGAACGCACCUUGCGCCCUUUGGCCAUUCCGAAGGGCAUGCCUGUUUGAGUAUCAUGAACACCUCAACUCUUCAUGGUUUUCCGUGAUGAGCUUGGACUUUGGGGGUCUUGCUGGCCUAUGGUCAGCUCCUCUAAAAUAAAUCAGCUUGCCAGUGUUUGGUGGGUAUCACAGGUGUGAUAACUAUCUACGCUUGUGGUUUUCCACCAGGUAACCUUCAGCAGUGGAGGUUCGCUGGAGCUCACAGAUGUGUCUCUCCUCAGUGAGGACAGCUCUUUGAAUGUUUGAUCUCAAAUCAGGUAGGACUACCCGCUGAACUUAAGCAUAUCAAUAAGCGGAGGA
rnacentral:misc_RNA from 1 species